rnacentral:tRNA from 1 species
CAGGAUAUAGUUUAAUAAAAAUAUAAAUUUUGGAGAUUUAAGAUAAAUUUUAUAUUUAUUCUGA